CUGACUAAAUAAAUGGAGGAAUCCAGUUUCCGGGCAAGCAACAAGUUCGAUCAACUCAUCAUGGUUUUCUGGUGGAUUGCCCGACUCCAUUAGUGAAACCGAAACCUGCAUACAUCGAAGAAUGACUUCAGGUAUACAACACCUACGACAAAGACCCUGUACAAUAUAUGUUGCUGGCCCUUCCAAAGAACCCUCUGCACUUGAAUACCAAGCAUCUAAUCUGGAUAUUUCCAUUGUAACUCCAACUUGAAACCGAGCAAGCUCCCCUUUGAAUCCCAUGACAGUACCAAGAAUACCACCAUCAUUAGAUUGGUGUAACCCAAGUCCAUCACCCUCCACAGCCAAACAGCGAAGAACAACCUCAAUGCAGUCCUUGUCGAAAUGGCAACGUUCACCAUUAAUUGGCGGCGCAACACAAUUUCCUCGCUUACUGAAGAGUAGAGGGCACUCAUUAAUGCAGUACAAAUGGUGGCAUCUGGACACAUACAUUCACCAGAAGGCCGACAGAGCAUAGCAGUUGCAUGCAGUUCAAGAAAUACAGGUGCCGUUGAUUCAUAUGCAUGAUCUUCAACAGAAGCCAACCAAGGGUUUUCUUUCUUUAACACCAACGACAAAGACAAAUUCAAUGUUUCCUUGGCUGCUGUAAUGGCUCUUUGUUUUUCCUCCACCGAGAGUUCAACGGGAGGAACCUCUACAUUCUCUAAUUCAAUUUUGAGCCAGUUGCGAUAUGUUGCAUCACAGGAGUAGUACUCGCUCCAGUCUUGAAACUCUUUCAGAUUCUCGGAAACAUAAUCCUCAAGGGUAUCAGGUAUUUCUGAAAGCUGCUUCAACGGCUCAGCAAGUAAACUAAGCAAUGCAUGUGCACCUAUUGGCAUUGCUGGCACUCUCCACAUAGAAAUCAGAGCAAAUUCUCUGAACAGGAUGUUGCUGUGCACUAAUGCCUGCAGAAGAAGUUUGACACUGACAUCCUUAACAUUGGUAAUUGUAGAGGGCGGUGUAAAACAGAGCCAUUGGAUCACCAAAGCUUUUUGUAGACUCUGCAAACGGUGCUGCUCUGCAACCUCCGAUGACUUAUCAUAUUUUCCAACUUUGAUUUCUCGAGAUCUUGACAGAACCCUCUCAAUGAUUUCUUCAAAACUGCCUUUUGAAUCAUCCUCCAAAGAAAAUGGCAAGUAC
rnacentral:misc_RNA from 1 species